CUUACGCUGGCGACGUUACCCAAAUUUCCACGUAGAUCAGAAAUUAACCCAUUAAAAAUUCAAAAUAACAAUCUAAAAAGUAGGAUGGAUACACUGCCCUCUUGUGGCAGCGUUGGGUGUCGUUCAAUGUUGCUACCAUACAGGAGAACUCACAUGUCAGGAUGUCUCACAUGAAAUAAAGGAUAGCUGCGCUCUGGUUUGACCCACGUAAGACUAAGGUCUUGGUGGGCUUUCGACCAGGGUGUUCUCCUUCCCGCACGAGAUUCUGUUUCUCCCAUCCAGAGCAGCCAGGGAGGCAACAGAUCCGCUCUGGUUUACUGGCAAAACCACCAGGGAGCUCAGAAGCGUACUUCCCCAUCUGUUGCAGGUCUAGGGUAAUGAAGCCAUUUCUGAAACUUCAAGGACUCCACAGCGAGAGUCAUGAUCUACAAAUGGAGAAAACAUGGAACAGUAGUGCUCAGCGAUGACAUAUCCAGGAGCAGGAGGCCUCAAAGAAUCCCGUGACAACAGCUAAAGAACUGCAGGCCUACCCUUCCUCAGUUAAGAGCUUGCCUGAGAAAAGCACUGCCUGCUGCUCCCGGAAAAAUUAAUGAGCGCAAUGUGAAAAAAGAGAAAAAACUGCCAAGUUCUGGCCCAAAACAAUCAGCUGAAUUAUGCUAAAGGCUCUACAGUGCCAAGGGGAGCUGCAAAGCUGGAUGCACUUUUUUAUGAGGUGCACCAAUUCAUUUCCCAGAACACGAACCGAAAGCACCACGAAACACUACAUAUCCCAGGAGCCAUUGUGAAGUCACGAAGGACGGAUGUAAUCAUUGUCCUGGCAUACGAUUGGCUAAGAGGAACUUCAACUGUAUGUGUGCAUCUCAGCAUCCUCUUCAUUCGCCCCUCGCACCAUGAGGUGCUACAUCAGCUUUACCAGCACAAAAGACUACAUAUGCCAAGAGCCGUUGUGAUGUCAAGAAGGACAACGACAGCCCCAAAACAUCACUGCUCUAGAGGAGAUCUGCAUGGAGGAAUGGGCCAAAAUACCAGCAACAGUGUGUGAAAAGCUUCUAAAGAGUUACAGAAAACGUUUGGUGUUAUUGCCAACAAAGGGUACAUAACAAAGUA